UUCUGCAUUCCCACCAGCAAUGAAUGAGAGUUCCUAUUGCUCCUCAACCUCAUCAGCACUUGGUGUUGUCCGUGUUCAGGAUUUUGGCCACUCUAGUAAGUGUGUAGUGGUAUCUCAUUGUUUGUUUUAAUUUGCAUUUCUCUAAUGAUUAGUGAUGUUGAGCA